rnacentral:rRNA from 1 species
UACGUAGGGGGCAAGCGUUGUCCGGAUUUAUUGGGCGUAAAGCGCUCGCAGGUGGUCCGUCGCGUCGUGCGUGAAAGACCCCGGCUCAACUGGGGGAGGGUCGUGCGAUACGGGCGGACUGGAGGCCAGUAGGGGGAUGCGGAAUUCCGGGUGUAGUGGUGGAAUGCGUAGAGAUCCGGAGGAACACCAGUGGCGAAGGCGACUACCUGGCCUGUUCUUGACGCUGAGGCGCGAAAGCUAGGGGAGCAAACGGGG